AACGAACACUGGCGGCAUGCCUAAUACAUGCAAGUCGAACGAGAUCUUCGGAUCUAGUGGCGCACGGGUGCGUAACGCGUGGGAAUCUACCCUUGGGUUCGGAAUAACAGUUAGAAAUGACUGCUAAUACCGGAUGAUGACGUAAGUCCAAAGAUUUAUCGCCCAAGGAUGAGCCCGCGUAAGAUUAGCUAGUUGGUGAGGUAAAGGCUCACCAAGGCUACGAUCUUUAGCUGGUCUGAGAGGAUGAUCAGCCACACUGGGACUGAGACACGGCCCAGACUCCUACGGGAGGCAGCAGUAGGGAAUAUUGCGCAAUGGGCGAAAGCCUGACGCAGCCACGCCGCGUGAGCGAUGAAGGCCUGGUCGUAAGAC
rnacentral:rRNA from 1 species